AUUGAACGCCGGCGGCAGGCUUAACACAUGCAAGUCGAGCGGGGUGAUGGUGCUUGCACUAUCACUUAGCGGCGGACGGGUGAGUAAUGCUUAGGAAUCUGCCUAUUAGUGGGGGACAACAUCUCGAAAGGGAUGCUAAUACCGCAUACGUCCUACGGGAGAAAGCAGGGGAUCACUUGUGACCUUGCGCUAAUAGAUGAGCCUAAGUCGGAUUAGCUAGUUGGUGGGGUAAAGGCCUACCAAGGCGACGAUCUGUAGCGGGUCUGAGAGGAUGAUCCGCCACACUGGGACUGAGACACGGCCCAGACUCCUACGGGAGGCAGCAGUGGGGAAUAUUGGACAAUGGGGGGAACCCUGAUCCAGCCAUGCCGCGUGUGUGAAGAAGGCCUUAUGGUUGUAAAGCACUUUAAGCUAGGAGGAGGCUCUUUUGGUUAAUACCCAAGAUGAGUGGACGUUACUCGCAGAAUAAGCACCGGCUAACUCUGUGCCAGCAGCCGCAGUAA
rnacentral:rRNA from 1 species